rnacentral:rRNA from 1 species
UUGGGCAAUGGGCGAAAGCCUGACCCAGCAACGCCGCGUGAGGGAUGAAGUAUUUCGGUAUGUAAACCUCGAAAGAAUGGGAAGAAUAAAUGACGGUACCAUUUAUAAGCUCCGGCUAACUACGUGCCAGCCGCCGCGGUAAUACGUAGGGAGCAAGCGUUGUCCGGAUUUCCCGGGCGUAAAGGGCGCGUAGGCGGCGCGGUAAGUCACGUGUGAAAUCUCUGGGCUUAACUCAGAACGGCCAAGUGAUACUGCUGUGCUAGAGUGCGGAAGAGGCAGCCGGAAUUCUUGGUGGAGCGGUGAAAUGCGUAGAUAUCAAGAGGAACACCUGAGGCGAAGGCGGGUUGCUGGGCCGACACUGACGCUGAUGCGCGAAAGCCAGGGGAGCA